GAUGAACGCUGGCGGCGUGCCUAAUACAUGCAAGUCGAGCGAACAGAUGAGGAGCUUGCUCCUCUGACGUUAGCGGCGGACGGGUGAGUAACACGUGGAUAACCUACCUAUAAGACUGGGAUAACUUCGGGAAACCGGAGCUAAUACCGGAUAAUAUAUUGAACCGCAUGGUUCAAUAGUGAAAGACGGUUUUGCUGUCACUUAUAGAUGGAUCCGCGCCGCAUUAGCUAGUUGGUAAGGUAACGGCUUACCAAGGCAACGAUGCGUAGCCGACCUGAGAGGGUGAUCGGCCACACUGGAACUGAGACACGGUCCAGACUCCGACGGGAGGCAGCGAUAGGGACGCUUCCGCAAUGGGCGAAAGCCUGCCGGAGCAACGCCGCGUGAGUGAUGAAGGUCUUCGGAUCGGAAAACUCUGUUAUUAGGGAAGAACAAAUGUGUAAGUAACUAUGCACGUCUUGACGGUACCUAAUCAGAAAGCCACGGCUAACUACGUG
rnacentral:rRNA from 1 species